rnacentral:rRNA from 1 species
AUUGAACGCUGGCGGCAUGCCUUACACAUGCAAGUCGAACGGUAACGGGCCUUCGGGUGCCGACGAGUGGCGAACGGGGGAGUAAUACGUCGGAACGUGCCCGAUCGUGGGGGAUAACGAGGCGAAAGCUUUGCUAAUACCGCCUACGAUCUACGGAUGAAAGCAGGGGACCGCAAGGCCUUGCGCGGACGGAGCGGCCGAUGGCAGAUGAGGUAGUUGGUGGGAUAGAAGCUUACGAAGCGGACGAUCUGUAGCUGGUCUGAGAGGAUGAGCAGCCACACUGGGACUGCGACACGGCCCAGACUCCUACGGGAGGCAGCAGUAGGGAAUUUUGGACAAUGGGCGCAAGCCUGAUCCAGCCAUGCCGCGUGCAGGAUGAAGGCCUUCGGGUUGUAAACUGCUUUUGUACGGAACGAAAAGCCUUCUUUUAAUACAGGAGGGUCAUGACGGUACCGUAAGAAUAAGCACCGGCUAACUACGUG